AUGACAUCCAUUUUCAUGGCUGUUGCUCCAAGUUGCAUUAAGAGUGCAUGCGGUGAAGGUGAAUGGUUUGGUUAUACAUUGGUAGCUUGCGUUCAAGAAGAAGAUUAUUACAAUGGGGAUGGAGAUUCAUGCAGGGAAGAACUCUUGUAUUGUUUGUUUCAUCAUCUUGCAAUUGGUAAUGUCACGGCUUCUCUUAUUCAUAUUAAAGAAAACGCUCUCUGA